rnacentral:rRNA from 1 species
GAUGAACGCUAGCGGCAGGCUUAAUACAUGCAAGUCGUGGGGCAGCAGGUUUGUAGCAAUACAGAUGCUGGCGACCGGCAAACGGGUGCGGAACACGUACAGAACCUUCCUUUGAGCGGGGAAUAGCCCAGAGAAAUUUGGAUUAAUACCCCAUAGUAUAAUGAAGUGGCAUCACUUUAUUAUUAAAGAUUUAUCACUCGAAGAUGGCUGUGCGGCUGAUUAGGUAGUUGGCGGGGUAAAGGCCCACCAAGCCUGCGAUCAGUAACUGGUGUGAGAGCACGACCAGUCACACGGGCACUGAGACACGGGCCCGACUCCUACGGGAGGCAGCAGUAAGGAAUAUUGGUCAAUGGAGGCAACUCUGAACCAGCCAUGCCGCGUGGAGGAUGAAGGUCCUCUGGAUUGUAAACUUCUUUUAUAUGGGACGAAAAAGGCUUUCUAAGUCGUCUGACGGUACCAUAUGAAUAAGCACCGGCUAACUCCGUGCCAGCA